rnacentral:rRNA from 1 species
GACGAAGGGGGCUAGCGUUGUUCGGAAUUACUGGGCGUAAAGGGCUCGUAGGCGGCCAACUAAGUCAGACGUGAAAUCCCCCGGCUUAACCGAGGAACUGCGUCUGAUACUGGAUGGCUUGAGUUCGGGAGAGGGAUGCGGAAUUCCAGGUGUAGCGGUGAAAUGCGUAGAUAUCUGGAGGAACACCGGUGGCGAAGGCGGCAUCCUGGACCGACACUGACGCUGAUGAGCGAAAGCCAGGGGAGCAAACGGG